rnacentral:rRNA from 1 species
GUGGGUAACCUACCCUGUACACACGGAUAACAUACCGAAAGGUAUGCUAAUACGGGAUAAUAUAUUUGAGAGGCAUCUCUUAAAUAUCAAAGGUGAGCCAGUACAGGAUGGACCCGCGUCUGAUUAGCUAGUUGGUAAGGUAACGGCUUACCAAGGCGACGAUCAGUAGCCGACCUGCGAGGGUGAUCGGCCACAUUGGAACUGAGACACG